GAGGGUGUAGCUCAGUGGUAGAGCGCGUGCACGCGGUCUUGGGUUCAAUCCCCAGCACCUCCA
rnacentral:tRNA from 1 species